UUCUCACGAGCGGAUCCGUCGCUGCCCUCGCCCCAUCGUCGCCCCACCACCGCUCGCCGCUGCGGAUCCGCCGACUCCGCCGCCGUUCCUCUCUAGCAUCCGCCGCCGCCGGCCCUCUCCGCCCUCCCCCGGUCUUCUCUGCACUCUGUCGCCCAGUUCUUCUUCCCCUCCCCAUCCUCUCCUAAUCUUCUCCAGCGCGCGCACUCGCGGAUGCAAGCGAAUGGCUCGGGCAGGAGACAUGGCUCACGGCGGCGGCGUCUCUCCUCGGGAGGAGCUCGGACGUUGAGGUCGGGGUGUGCGCUACCCUUAGGACGGAGUCCACCGACCCGUGCUGGUCAUGGUCCACCACCACCACGCCUUCAAUCCGACCUCCACCACUCCAGCAAGCAGGAGCAUCGCACUGGCUGCGGUCUGCUCAAUUUAACAAUUGGAAUAUUAGUUUCUUGAUCCUUUCUGAGAUCAUGUUUUGUUUGCAUCUGAUAAUUAGGAUGACCUCCUUUCUUUCAGGUUUGUAUGCUAAAAUGAACUUGAGUGACGAGGUCGAUUUUUUUGUAUGCUAGGAUGAACUUGAGUGACGAGGUUGAUUUGGAAGAUCAUGUCUCCAGACAGGAUAAAAUCAGUGCUACUAAUGUGAGUUGAUUUGGAAGAUUGUCUCCAGACAGGAUAAAAUCAAUGCUGAUGAUGUGAGUGCCUUUUCAUUAUCCUGAACAUUCUUUUUCACUUGUACAACUUCAGCAUAGGAAAUUUCAUUGCCUCAGCUUAAUUAGAAAAUGAUAAUGAUUUCUAAAUCAUUUACUCUUAAAAGCUUAUCAUAGUAAAUGCGGACGACUUGACCAUAAGGUCGGAUGUUUUCGUGAGCAGUAAGCAGCGGAUCUGCCAUUUUUGGGGGAAAGCUGAUGGCCCUUUUGUCAUGUUAAUUCUUUCGACGGGUGGCCUCCUGCUAACCAUACAUUUGUUUCAUAUAUAUUGACACCUAUAAUAGCAGUAGCAACGCCUAAUUAUGAUAUGUUAUGUAAUUGCUUGUGUAAAUUAGGCACCCCUUUUCUACCUCCUGUGUGUUAUUCACUGUGACAUUCGUUUUCAGUCUGCUGCUAUUUGACAGGAAGCUGGCAUGCCUGUUAUCCACAAAAAUCGGUAAUGUUAUCCUGCCCAAGGACUUCGAGAAGGGUUACCUAACCAACGUUAAGAAGCCUUAGACAGACUUCGACUUCUACAAAUGAGGCAACAAACUAUUAAAGAGGAUGCUUUAUUUCCUACGGGCAACAAUUAUUAACACUAGAGUUGAAUUUGUUGACGGUCGCGUCCGAUAGUAAUAUCCCUGUAUCUUGGUGCUCCUGUAGUUUGCACAUUCAGUCUCAUUAGUGUUGUUAAGCUACUUGCCUUCACAAAGCGUCAUGGGAUUUGCUUCCCAGCGAGAGAGAAGAGUUCAAAAAGGGAGAGAGCAAAGAAGAAGGACAAGGAGAGGGCAGUGGCGUCGUGUAGAGACUGUGGCCGGUGAAGCAUAACUAGAAGUUUCUCUAAUGGUCGACAACAAGGAUCACUGCACAACAGGCUUUGGAGCAGGCUCUGAUUCAUAGAGAACUCCCCAAAAACCUCAUCUUUUGAGGAUAUUAGAUGGAUAUUGAAUCCAGUUAGCCUCCAAUAGAUAAAGGAAGUCAAAUUUUCUGUUGGUAAUUUGCACGACAGGGUUCUAGCAAGUUUAUGAUUGUGUCUACAAUAGACUACCUCUGCCUGAAGAUUUGAGAUUUUUCAGAGAAGAAAGAACUCUAGAGGUGUGCAUGUUUAUCAUAUUUUUAUGGAGAAUCAAGUCUGCAGAAUACCUACUGAUUUGAGGAAUUCGGAUGUUACCCAUGGUCAUACACGGAUGUAGUUUAUGAGAAGCUAUCUUAUGUUGAUGGUGUGUAAGCAUAUCAGCCUCCCGGUUGCCUAUUUCAUUCCUCACGGGACCAUUAUGCUGGGCUAAUUGAGGUAUAUCAAAAUUCUAUAUUGAACCUUCGUUAUAUAGAAAGCUAGCCAAGCAACAUCAAAACGGCCAUCCUCAGCUAGCUUUAUAUUUGGUUGUGCAUCACUAAGAUGAUUGAUACGCCCAUUUUGCAUCAUGCUUUUCUAUCGAUAUUUAUUGCAUUAUGG